CCCAAGGAGGAAAGAUUUUUAUCUGGAGAUCACUCCUCAUGGAGUCCUUCUGUGAGCCCAGGGCAUGGCAAGCUUGUGGGACUGUAAUAUACACUAUUUAUAGCUGACUGGACCAAAGCAUUUAGUGUAGAAGGACUGAGGGAGCCAAAAUAAGAAGGAUGAAGCAAAUGUUUUAAAUUACAGCUACGGAGAGAGAACUUAACUAAAGCAGAAAUAUGAGUCACAAAAACAUUCGUGCCGUAUUUUCAGGCUCCACUUGGAUCUGCGUAGGAAGAUUGUCUCAUCCAUGCAGAGCUCUGUGUGUACCAAUGCUCUGCUCAGGUGUUUCUGAAAACACGAUGAGAGCUGAGGUCUGAGCAAUGGGGACUGCACUUCACUGUAUGUUUAAGCAUGGUACUGGCUUUACAGUUUGCACUGACUCAACACAAGGGAAAAGAUGAUUACACACAACAGCAACAACAAUGAAUCAAAACAUGCAGACCGUCAGACUUUUUUGAAAACUCAUGCAAUGGAAAUAGGCAUUGCCAUUAAAAGUAACUGAUCUGUGUUUCCUCUUUCAAACCUUUACUUUCUCACAUGCUACUGUUUGAUUCUGUUAGCAACUUCAGUGUAGUAAGGAGUUGCUGAUGAAGAGAAUACUAUAGGGCAGCAUUGUCUCCCCAGAGCUGUAGUGAGCUUAUUCUUAUACUCCUGGGAUCAUAGCAGAGGGCUCAUGCUCAGCUAUCUGUUUUGCUUUUUAUGUUUUCUUUAGUUGUUUUUCACUUUGGCGCUGAGUGGGCAGACAAGACUCUUGAACAAUCUGUAAUUACAUAGUGUCACAGUUGAUGAGGUUACAAAGGAGUAAAUAUGUAGUUGGUAUUAGAGAGGAUAUUUUUAACAAUACUCACUCUGCAUCUAAUAGAGUGCAUCUGUGUCCUCUGCGGGCCCUCUGCCUCAGAUAAUAUAAAAGGAGAGCAAUGAGGAAGAGAGGAGCAUAAUAAUAUCUGCAUAGUCUUCAGCGAAAUCAGUUUCUGCAAAUACACACUUGACAUCUGAACUCUUUCAUACCAGUACUGCUCCUAUUGAUGGCAGUGGCAUCUUUGCCCUUGAAUAGGAACAGGAUUGAAUUCUGACUGUUGGAUGUCUUAUGACACAAGAGGUGGAAGUUUCCCAGUGUGAUCUGAUUGCCAUAGUCAACAAGAAGAGUUUUAGUAGACCAUCAUGUGUGUAAUUCUUGACCUGGGGUCGUGACUGGGUCUCAGGGAGGCAUGACAAACCUCCUUUUUGGCUAGCAGGGAGAGAACAGCAAUCUGAUACAUUUUUCUGCUGUAACAUGGGUUGUAACACAAGAUAGAAUAAAGCAGUUUCGUCAGCCUGCCUCUACUGGGUUCUUACAUGCUGUGUUUCCACUUCUGCUAGCCAAAUUUUGAUAUCAUGGUGAUACAGAACAACCUGACCUGGACAGCACAUGUCUAAAGUCAUGAAACCAUAUUGUAUUUAUACCACUCAGAGCUGAUGGAAAUAACCUUUUAAAGAGUCAAGGACUCUUUAAUUUUGUGAAGGCAAUGUGAAAUGAUUUGUUUAAAAUUCCUUUGCCUGCUAAUGCUUGGUAUUCUAUGGCUGAAACAGUUACUAGGCAUGCUUUUGGUCAUCUUCAUUAAUUAUUUGUACUCCAACACAACCCAUGAAUUUAGGUAUCUUGUCCAAACAUGUGAACUGACAUUACUUGAAAGUCCACUAUUUCUGGAUUUUGGGGCAGUUGUGAGAAAAACUAGACCAAGUGUCAUUAAAUAGUGUCAGUUCACCUCUCCAUUUGCUCAGUAAUUACAAGUUGAAGAUGUGACUCAGACUUCUGGGAACAUCCCCCUACCUUCUCAGUGCCAGCAUGCUGAUGUUCAGCAAUGGCAUCUCCCUGUGCACGUGGCAGUGAAAUGGCAGGGCUCCCCUGUGACUGGGGAUACUUAUUGCACAGCAGUAAAGGAAAAACCACUUUUCAAAAUACCUGUAAGAAAAUAAGACAAAAUUGAGA
ensembl:lncRNA